rnacentral:misc_RNA from 1 species
AUUUGGAGGGAUUCUAUGAAGAGCUGCCUAUUGUAAAAGAAGUAGCUGUUGAUAACUCGGUCAGUGUUUCAGUUAGAAAGUGUCCUGAAACAACCAAAUAUCUUUUGUAUUUGGAAACUGAUCUACCUGGAGAUGUUAUUGUUCAUUGGGGAGUGUGCAGAGAUGAGACUAGGAAAUGGGAGAUUCCAGCUGCUCCUCACCCUCCGGAAACAACAGUAUUCAAGAACAAAGCCUUGCGUACCUUACUGCAGCCGAAAGAAGGGGGGAAGGGAUGUUGUGGAAUUUUUACCGUAGAAGAAGAUUUUAGAGGAUUCCUUUUUGUUCUCAAGCAGAAUGAGAACUCUUGGUUAA